GACGAACGCUGGCGGCGUGCUUAACACAUGCAAGUCGAACGGAAAGGCCCUGCUUUUGUGGGGUGCUCGAGUGGCGAACGGGUUAGUAACACGUGAGUAACCUGCCCUUGACUUUGGGAUAACUUCAGGAAACUGGGGCUAAUACCGGAUAGGAGCUCCUGCUGCAUGGUGGGGUUGGAAAGUUUCGGCGGUUGGGGAUGUACUCGCGGCUUAUCAGCUUGUUGGUGGGGUAGUGGCUUACCAAGGCUUUGACGGGUAGCCGGCCUGAGAGGGUGACCGGCCACAUUGGGACUGAGAUACGGCCCAGACUCCUAAGGGAGGCAGCAGUGGGGAAUAUUGCAAAAUGGGCGGAAGCCGGAUGCAGCAACGCCGCGUGCGGGAUGACGGCCUUCGGGUUGUAAACCGCUUUCGCCUGUGACGAAGCGUGAGUGACGGUAAUGGGUAAAGAAGCACCGGCUAACUACGUG
rnacentral:rRNA from 1 species